AGUCUGCCCUCUUUUGGCCC
rnacentral:piRNA from 1 species